rnacentral:lncRNA from 1 species
GAAAAUAAAGAUAAAGUCCUAAGAAGCCUUGAAAUCCCGAAAGAUUUCACAACUCCCUUCAAAAGGCUCUAAUCUCCCCUCCAAUGAAAAUCAAUGGCAAGAAGAAGGCUGAAGAAGGCUCCCACAAUCAAAAAGACUGUUAAAACUACUUCUAAAGAAAACUCAAGAGAAAAUUCUUGAAGAAAAGAGAAUUUUCACUCAAAACAAAUCUGAAUUUUUUCAAUAUAAUUGUGAUGUCUUCAAUAAGGUGGCC